rnacentral:misc_RNA from 1 species
UACAGAGGGUGCAAACGUUGUUCGGAAUUACUGGGCGUAAAGCGCGUGUAGGCGGCACUGUAGGUCGGAUGUGAAAUCCCGCGGCUCAACCGUGGAAGUGCAUUCGAAACCGCAGAGCUAGAGUAUCGGAGAGGAAGGUGGAAUGCUUGGUGUAGAGGUGAAAUUCGUAGAUAUCAAGCGGAACACCGGUGGCGAAGGCGGCCUUCUGGACGAUCACUGACGCUGAGACGCGAAAGCGUGGGUAGCAAACAGG